CCAAAAAACAUCUUUCUCCCAUGGCCAUACUCAUUGAGCUGAAACCAUAAGCUAGAUCAUAUAAUCUGUGACUUGCUUCCUGUUGGGCUUCUGAACUAUAUCCUAGAAGUCUUGUCAUUCUGCUAUAUAUUUGGCAAUAUAACCAGGAUCAGGGAUGAGAUUGAAGCAAGAGUAUGGGAUACUAUAACAGCAUGGGUUUGCUUAGAGGUUCAUAGUGAAAGUGACCCUAUUUAUAUGAUUGCCCUGAGAUCCACAUCUGCUCUCUUCCUUUCUGUCAGUAACAGUUAGUACUUCCUAUUUCUAUGCCUAUGCUUCUUCACCAAAUUAUUCAGUGAAGAUGAAGUCUUGCAACUCAUUGGAUCUUAAUAUAUCAGCCAUACACACCAAACUCUGAGGUAUCUAGUCACACAUAUGAUGGCUGUCUCUCUCUUGCUGGCAACCCACAGAUAUUUUAGUUGCUGUUGAAUACCACUUACCCUAAGUCAAGGACUUUGCAGUUUCCCAUGCUCUGCCAGCCAGAAGAUGCACAAAAAGCCAGGAGGGAGCACUGCCAGAGCACCUGACCCAAACUGGCCAAAGGGAUAUUCCAUACCAUGUGCAUGAACUCAGGGGAAGAGGCCUUAGAGCUGCUGAGGAAUGGGAUGGGCAUCAGUCUGCAGCUGCUGAGCAGUUGUACUGGGCAUCUCUUGUUUCUCUUACAUUUUAGUCCUCUCUUUCUUUUAAUUAUUAUUAUUUUGCUUUCUUUCAGUUAUUAUACUGUUCUUAUCACAGGCUGUGGGUUUUACCUUUUUGUGAUUCUCCUCCCUAUCCCCUUGGAGAGUGUGCUUGAGUAAGAGGCUAAAGGGUAUUUAAUUGCAAGCAGGGGUUAAACCAGGACAUGCCCAUACAGAAAAUAAGCCUGAAAGCAUGGCUUGAAGUAUAGCCAUAGGGAAUUCUAUAAAGUUCAUGAAGCUGUGUGUGUCUGUUUGAUGAUGUAGUGUACAGGGAGACUCUUCAGAGCAGGCUGCCAUAUAGACAGGGGGCAUGCUGUGAUCCCAGCUGCUACGAAGGCUGCUCACUAGAAGCAAUCCAGGCAUGACCAGUAGGAAUUGGCACUGCUCUUCUGUGUGGCAGAAGUCUUUUUUCUCCCUGUGGGCUAAGUUUCCCUCCACCUCCGUAUUUUCACAUUACCUAUAACGUUGAAGAACGAGGCAUCUGCAAACAUUUCAAAACUUUAUCUAAGUAUAUAAUGGGAAGUGAUUUAAUAUAACCUACAGGCCCAGCUGGCAUUGAAUCUUUAGACACAUGAACACGCCUAGAAAUGUGUCCCUUGGGAACUUUUGGCUACUUUUCUGCAUGCAAAGAAACACACACAUACAUAUAUAUGUAUGUUCACUAGGUGCUUCUAGAUGUUCACUAGGUGCUUUAGCCACCACUAGGUGGGAUAGGGAGAGAAGAUAGGGAGAACUAAUAGUUUCAGGCAGGCAGUACCAAGUGGGCAGACCUUCUUCUCAGCGUGGGGAGAUGCUUUUUCCAUGCUUUGAUGGGAAAGGAAGAAAAAAACAGCAUCUGCUCCCACACUGUGGAAAGAAAAUACUAAGCAAAGAGCAAAGAUAUGUCUUACCUAAACAAAUUAUAGGUUAGUUUCUCAUAUGGAUAAUAGCGUUGUUCACAUUUUAUACCUUGCACUAGAUUUUGUUUCAAAGUGAAAAGGUAAAUUAAUUAGUACCCCUGCAGCUAUGACACUUUUAACCAAAGUUGAAGUUAAUUUGGAAAUUCUUAGGGCACUUGAAAAUAAACAAACAAACAAACAAAUAAAUAAAUAAUUGCUUUUGAGAUACAUAUCCAUUAGCUGAGGGGUCUGCAUCUGCAAGACUUUCUCAUUAUUAUGUGGCUGCCCUUGGGAAUCUUUCCUUGGGCAAGAGAAGCUAGGAAGACAUUGUGGUAGUAAAACAGGUAAUAAAAAAUAUUUUGUUGGUGCUCAGUAUUUCAAGAAAUGAAAUUGCAUAUACAUUAGAGAACUGGACAGUUUUAGACUACAGAAGCGUUUGGAAUGCUCAGCCCUAGGUUGCACUAAACUAUCAUCUCCCUCUAUUGCAUGCUGUCUAGAUGUAUACAUGAAGACAUCUCAGUACCUGUUCUUUAAAUGUACAGAUUCAAUAUAAAUGGAAUUACAGAAUCAUAGAAUACUUUGGGUUGAAAGUCACCAUUAAAGGUCAUCUACUUCAACCUCCUUGCCAUGGGAGGGUACACUUACCUCUAGAGCAGGUUCCUCAGACCCCAUCCAACCUGAUUCUGAAUAUUCUCAGGGUUGAGGUAUCCAUCACCUACUACUUGCAUCAGUGUCUUAAUGCUGUGAUGCAUUAGUUACCUUUUAAUGUAGACAUAGGUAGGUAAACUUUCCCCUCCAUUUGAUAUGGCAAGUGGCAAACCUUAUCUUAACACACCUUAAUAUUCCAUUUACAAAAAUAUGUAGUGAGUAAGUAGGAAUUGACUAACAAGCUAAUAUGGAAAUGUGUAUGUGUGUGUUGUAUCAUCAUUUCAUAUAUAUAAACUAUAUAUGAGGAGUGACAUUGAAGGUUGUAAUCUACUCAAAUUGGCUAAAUGAGGUUAGUGCUUUCUUAACACUGACACAAAGCAGCCUCUGUCCAAAUUAUUUUAAACUUACUGAAACAUGAAAUUUGGUCUUAAACCAUCAGUUGGCAUAGACAUGAGUCCUUCUCAACUCUUGAGCUGCACCUGGAAAUGUUUUAGGAGAGCAAUAGGGGUCAUUUAAAAACCUUGAAUUAGAAAUAACUGGAUUUCUGUGCAUAGAAAUAUUCCCUGGUGCUUUAAUUUACUACUGUGCAUGUUAUCAAAGAAAUGGUUGAUUUACUGAAAUUGAGUGUACUGAUAACUACGUAGGAAGCAUGUGACCAUGUACUUUAUGCUGUACAACAGUUCCAAAUGGCAAGCAAUUCAUCCUUUCCAUUAGUUAGCAAUCAGAAUUUCUGGUGCUAGAACACUUCCCUUUGGCGUAUAUGAGUACAUAUUUAAAAAAAGAAAAGAGGAAAGCCAUUAGGAAAUCCUUGCUGGCUGUUGUCCAUACCUUAUUUUAGCUUGUUCAGCAGCACAUAAGAUAAAAUUUCUUCACUCCAGCAUAAGUUUUCCCAUUAGCAAAUUAAGAGGAAGAAAUGGGUAGGUAAUGAAAAAUGCUUGGUUUGAAAUGUUCAGAAAUGAAGUCCAGCAUGACAUGUAAUAGCAUUAGCUUGUCACAGAUUUAUAUGGCAUAUUGAUUAGCUAAUGGCAAUACAAAAGAAAAAAUUAGGAUGCUUCAGACAGUCUGUGAUGUCUGUGCCAGAGAUACUGUGAUCCACUACUGAUUUGUGAGAUCCUAAGAAGGAGGACAUGAUAACACUAAUAAAUCCACAGUGAAGAAAAAACUCUCAUAUCCUGACACUAAUUUUACCCCGCUCUUUAUGGAAAUAUAUGCUGGAGAAAAGAAAAUGUUUUAUGGAAGAAGACUUGUAUGAGCAAGGGGAUGAGUUAUCAGGACUGCUUCUGGAUUAUAAGCAUAUGAAAUUCUGUAAUAUUUCCAUUUGUCUGAAUUUUAGAAACACGAAACAGCAACUAUUUGUUGGUACCCUGAGAAGAAUGAAACAUUUCUUGGUAAUCCACUUGAGUCUAGAGAAGACAGCUGUAUAUUUAUGGCAGUAAUAGUUUCUGGAGUACUUUGUUAAUUUGGAUUACAGGAUUCAUUCUCCCAGUUUAUGUUUUAGUUCUGUGGCACUUUUCUGAUACAAUAUACAGGAUAUAUAUAUGGGAUUUAUGCUACAACUAUAUGAAGGCAUUUAGGGAUUGCCUUAAGAGGUUAAUAUGCAAUAAACUUACAUAGGGGUGGCUGACCUUCCUGACCUUGCACACUACUCAUCAGAAACUUCCUAUGCUGAAGAGCUGUGAGAUUCAUGUCAUAUCUUGGACUAAUGAGGAAAAAUGGAGCUUUCAGGGGAGUUCACAGGUAGGAGGUGCUAGAGUAGAACAAGCCAGGAAUGGCUUUCCAGCAUUUACUUAUUUGUUUCUUCUACAGCUGGGGAUCUCUACUGCCUGUUUCCAGCAUGACCUCACUCCUAGCUGUGCUCAUAGCCUCUAUAUAGGGGCAUCACUACUUGAGAAUAAAGUGAGGGCCAAAGGCUGACUGUAGUAUAAGAAAACUUCCUGAUUUCAUACCUGAAAAACCAGAUAAAAUUCCAGACUUUUCUGUAUUUAGUCCUGUUCAGAACUUUACAGAAAAUUAUUUAUUAUAUAGAGGAAAAUUUAAAGUUACCAGCUACUCUGAUUUCUGACUUUUAAGUCUAACCAUACUUCCUCCAGUGGCUUUGCAGAAAAACCCAAAACCUUCUAAUGCAGGAUCAGAAACUGAUCCUUAUAGUGGAUAUGAAUGCAGGGGAAACCUUGUUUUUUAUUCUCCUUUGACCUGUAGAAAAGGCAGUGAAUUAUUCCUGGUGUGGAAACAGCACCACUAUAUUUCUUCUGCCAAAGUGCUCUAGCAACCACAGACUAACAGAAGAUUAGCAGUCUUCUUUAGCUAACCUGUAUGUGAAAGCUGUAUAACCUGCUGUGGCCAUUUCACAGCUCCUCUGGAAAUAAUUCUUAAAGAUACUCAAAAGCAAUUUUAAAUAUGGUUUGCGUAAGAAAUUUUUAUUUCCUCUUAUAUUUAAAAUCUCUAUCAGGAAAUGAGACUAUUUCUGUUUAAAUCCCCUAGAAAAGCAAUUCUGUCCUCAUUAUCCAAGCCACCAGUCCAGAGAGAAAGGGUAGAAACAAGAAACAAAUUACCACAUUGACACCCAGAUCUUUCCUAUUUUGUCUUGACAGCAUUUCAUUUAUAUGAUGGUGUAUUUUUCCCUUGCAGCUAUUGCCUCCUGUUACUCUUUAAGGUAAUUGAAGCUGGGCCCAAAAGACCUUAGAGGCUUGUAUCUUCUCCUCACAUUAGUGACACUUCAGUGAUAAACUUGAACUUAAAGUUACUGAGGCGUAACUGAGGGUUCAUUUGAUAGCUAGUGGUUUUCAGCAGCACUGCAGGGCUUCAGAGGCUCAGCGUGAGCGAGAUUGUUAAUGUCCUGUGAGGGAAAACAAUAACACAUUUCAUUAAUGCGUUCAUGUGUGAAGCAUCCAUUAGUGCACUGGAGGUAUUAAUGACGUUAUGCUUUAAACUGACAUGUGGGGCAUGACAGGAAUUGCAAGGUCUGAUGAGAACAGAUGACAAGAUAAGCAAAUAUUUGAAUGGCUUCAUUUGCCUGCAGGUCAAACCAUGGUGCAGGGGAACUGAGAAAGCUAAAACCUGGGAGAGAUUAGUGUUUUCCUAGCACGGACUGAACCACAGGAAAACUUAAGAAAGAUAGUUUACUAAAUAAAUAGAGAGGUCAGUAAGGACAAUAAAUAUGUAAAGGGUACAAGCUUAAUUAUUGUUGAGUCUCAGUUUGUAAUUGGAGUGAAAUUGCUAAAGCCAUGGCCACAAUACAAGGUAUAGAUAUACAGAAAAAUACUUUGAUUUUAUGGAUAGUCUUUUAAUUUUCAGUAAUGCCCCUCUUUCUGCCUGAUGUGAAGGUUUAAAAUUUAUAGCCAAAAAAGCUGCUGACCAUUGCAAAAGAACCAUUGUACAUUGUGCCAGAAAUGAGUUUGGCAAUGAGAUUUUAAUAAACUAGUUUUUCUGCAGGCAAGCCAAAGUUGUUAGAGUGGUUAAGAUUAUUAUUCUUCUCUCAUUAUUAUGCACAUUCUUUAUUUGUCAGGUUUGAACUACUUGUGAAUUAGCAGAUAAAGGUCUGUUUCUGUUUUGGACCUGUGUUGGAUUGUUGCAGGAGGCUCACAGUGCGAUGGAUUUGACAGCUGCAACUCAGCCAUUAGAUGACAGCAGUGCACAUCUCAGUGCCAUCCAGCAUAAUUUAACAUGAACAAUCUGACAUGCUUGGCAGAUCCUUGAAGAAGGGGGAGGAAAAGGCCACUCCUUUGCUACCUCUGAUUCGGAAUGAUUUCGUACAGUCAGACUUUUCAGAAGUAGUAACACUCACUAGCUGGCUAAUGCAAUGAGGCUGCUGCAUCAUGACUUUUGUCAUGCCUUAUCUAGUGGAAGAUAAAGAAGUGACAGUGGAAGAAUCUGAGUAGCCAUAAACCUACAUGGAAAGUAGAUUAGGAGUUAUUACAGGCAUGCAGACUAUGCUCUACACUUUAUGCACUGAGAGAACUGAUCUACAGAACCUAAAUCUGAAAGUUUUUUCUGCAUGACUGCAGAGGCAGCUCUGUGCCUCUCUAGUUCGAGGGAUGAGGUCCAUGGAGGAGGAAUUCAGAAAAAAUGAGACUUUUCCAGAGAUCACAUUGAGAAGAAGUGGAUGUCAGACAACUGUGAACUGGCUGAAAGUGAUGGGAGAAUAUCCUUAUCCUUCCUACAGUGAUUUGACUAUAUGACAAGUCCAUUCUUCCAAACAUCUUGAGAAAUUGUGACUCUGUGGUGUAAAAAUUAAUUCGGGACACUGGUCACAGUGAGACUACAAAUAAACUGUAACACCAAACAUGGGGUUCAUCCAUGUAGAAGUUUUUAUUGACUUUUUCUUCACUGUUCAUAUUUGAGUGUCACUUUCAUUAGAAUGGGCAAGCUUGUGUUUUCUUAGAGUGUUUGAGUUUUCAAGCUACUGCAGGCGUCUUCCCAGGGAACUCUUGGAAAAUGCUAAAUACCUAAAAGAAUCUAAUUUGAGUAGCAGGUGAUCUGCAGCAUAAAUUUGUUCCAAACAGCUGAGCGCUAGGAAUCACUCUGUUUUAAUAUCUGAUGCAAACUUUUGUAUAAACAACUGCUGAGUUACAAUUAGUGACAAGACAGAGUUUGUCUUAAUAUGGAUACUUUGUAUUUUGCUUGAUCUUAUCCACAAAUUUUAGUCUUUCUUUGCUGGCAAAUGAUUCAAGAUUUUGGAAAAUAGGCACAAAAGAAGGAGAAGAAUGGGGUGGCUAAGCUGCCUGGCAGUUUUUGUCUGAGGCAGUUUAAUGAGAGAAAGUGUCUGAAAUGUAGUCCAAGAAGAGAAUGAAGAUACAGAGUUUAAAUCUGGUGAAAGGAGAAACAUCUGAAGAAGAAGGCAAUGGGUAAACAAGCUAACAAACAAAUAACUGUUUAACAGACAGCACCUUAAGGGUUUGCACUUUUAAAAAAUUGCUGUAUUUUCUUGUUGUACUACAUGCUGUGACUUUAUCACAAAUUGUUUGGCAAUAAAAUUACAGUGUUUGUGAUUACUUUUCUUAGAUAUCUUCUAGGAAAAACUUGUAGUUUUACAGUCUGUGGAAUGAUAUAAUUGCUUACCCUGCUAUUCCAUAGUAUAUUUUCACUGACAAACAUAAUGAUAAAUCAGUAAUUUCUGGCAUAUUUCAUUUAGACACUAAUUGCCAUUCUAACUCAUUAUUGGUAUUAAUGAUCCAGCAACUCUAACUGUUAAGGGAUGAACAAGGCUGUAAUCAUGGUCCAUAAGCUUGCUACACUUUCAAUAGAUUUGAAUGAGAAUUAGAAUAUGUGUGCAAAUUGGUGGGUAAAAGGGAUGGGAGUCUUUCAGCCUUGUUAAAUCAAUACAUUUUAUUGGAAAUCAGUGUUAAUUUGGAGGGGUGUUUUCAUUAGCAGCUGAGCAGUAUCCUUGGCUCAGGCACCAGGUGUCAGUCUUGGUGCUGGUAAAGAGGAGAGAGCCUUAAAAAGAUCUUGUGUGGCUGGAUUAGUGAUUCUUUCCCAAAGAGUUUCUAUAAUGCUUAGCAAUGCGUAGGAGGAAAAAAAAAAAAAAAA